UCUUUCUGUGAGCUGCAAAGGGACUUGGGGAGACCAUGCCGUCAGGAGAGAGAGCGGGAGGGAGAGAGAUAGGGAUUUGGUAAGGGGAGACAUGCGGCUUGCAGCGAUCCACUCUGUUGGCAUCUCCCUAUAACCGAGUAGCUUGGUUUGGAUCGGGCGAUUCCGGAGGCCCUGCCAUCGAGCGUCAAGGGGGAAGAAGCGAAAGAAUGACUCUGUCUGUAAGAUGGGUUUCUGUAAUGCAAAUUUCAUGAUGUUCAUAACGCUGAUUUGAUUCUCUCAUAAGAAAGGAUCUCCUCUCUGGCUUUCUGGGCCAAGUCAUCGAAGCUCUCUCUAGAGAGAAAGUGGCAGCAGUAGUGGGGAAGGAAGAAGGACUAUUCAUGUUUCUAUUAUCAUUUUUGCCAUUCGAAGCUCUGGGGUUUGGCUUUGGCUCUGUUAGCUGUUGAGUGUGUCAGGAAAUGAGUUCAACCAUGGAUUCAUAUACAUUGAAGUCCACAUCAAAUUUGUCUGCUCUCUGACCUGAUUGAGUGAGGGAGGAGGGAUACAGCGCAGAGAGAAUAUGACGGAAAUUGAGGAGGAAGCCCAAGCUUUCAGAGAGUUAGUGAGAUCUGAAGCCCAUGCCUGGAUGAACUGAUUUAAUUUGAGCACACAGAGCUCAAAUCUGGUGUUCAAAAAUAAGGCGGAGGCCACAAAGUUCUCAAAUCCAAGAUGAAAAGUGCAGUUUGGCAUAUCAAAUCAACCUGCUGCUUUCUUGGGACUCUAAUUCUUAGUUUUUUGUUCUUUUGAUGCAUUUGCUGCUAUGAUCUUCUAACUGCUGAAGUUUCUUCAGUCUGGAAUUCAGACAGGCAGGAUGCGGAUACUUCUGACUUUAUCGAGGAAUUUAGUAGUCCCCAUCAUCAUCAGUUUGUCUGCUAUUGCAGUUAGAGAAGCAUUCCACAGAAGAAGGCGGGGUUACACCUUCAGUUUAUUCGUGCAAAGAACCAGUAUGUCCAAAAAUAUAUGUUACUCGAUUCUUAAAAACUUUAUGGCAUGACAAAAUAAAUUUACAAAUUGCUAAUUUUUCUGUUUUGUAUAAAAUCUUUGUUCACUCUACCUGAAUAGGUACACAUGUUAAGUUUUCUUUCAUCUUAUCUUUGGCACAGAAAGCACCAUCAAAAUUUAACCCUUUUUUUUUUUUUUUCAUUCGGCUGUUGAGGAAGGGAUUGUUGUUGGUGGAUGAAACCUUUAGGUAAUUAUCUGUUGCUUAUUGAACUCCCCCAAUCAUGAGUUUUGACUCGGAAGAAGAUUUUGAUGAUGACAGAUACUGAAUUAAAUUUUGGCUCAAAUUGUAUUGAAAAUUGCAGUUCGGAGCAAUUUUUAUGAGGAAGAAGGAUGAGUCCCAAACAUAUGUAUGAAUUUAGUCAAUUUCUACAUGCUCCAUUCAGUAGAUGAAUUGUAAACAUAUGAAUUUCAAGCAUCUGAAUUGAAUAGAUGCUUUUAAUUCUUCUCUCAUCUAAACCUUAGAUUUUUCUGCAAUUUUAUUUCUAUGUUGUUUAUAUCAUUGUUGUUUGAAUAUAUGGUUAAACUUAUUUCAUUAAUUCUUGAUGCCGUGUGUUGAUAAUCCUGGAAAGGUAGGGGUGCGAUGGUCAUUUUAGUCUGUAGGGUUUUGAACGGAUUGGGUGGGUUAGGGAGACUUUCAUUUCCUUUCUUUCUAUGAGCUGCAGAGGGACUUGGUGAAAGCAUGCUGUCAGGAGAGAGAGCAGGAGGGAUAGAGAUAGGGAUUUGGUGAGAGGAAGGCAUGCGGCUUGCAGAGAGGAGGAGGGGAGAGAGAUGGGGAGGAAGGAAGAGUGAGAGCGAUAGGGAUUUGGUAAGGGGAAGAAAUACGACUUGCAGGUAGACAAAGUCAUAAGGGUGUACGAUUCAAGAGAGAGAGAGAUAGGAGAUUGAGUCGUUGCAUCACUCUCACUACCUGCACUCUUGAGCCAUGAAGGCCUAAGAUUGAGGACAAAGGCCAUGGUUGCACAGAAUAACUGAGAUUUGAAGCCCAUGACAGCCUCAGCUGAUUGAGCGAUUGAAGCCUUUUGUUGCUGGGAGAUCGUUUAGAGUUUGAGUCUACUGAGUUCUGUGGAUUCACUCAACUGCAAUCAUCUCUUCUGCAAGUAAUCUCUACCUUCAUUGUUAUUCACAUAUGAAUGUUAGGUUUUAUUUGGAUGUAUUAAUUGUCAUUGGCAGUACUAUAAAAAACAAUCUUUCUGCAUUAUUCUAGGUUUAAUAUCUAGCUUUUUAGUUGUAUAUUACUUAUAUGGGUCUUUAACUACAAUAUCAAAUUUCUUACCUUUUUUCAUGUUUUUACUUUUAACUUACUGAUAUUUAUUUUAGAAUGUGGAAUUCUAUCUAAUAUUUGUUUAUUUCCUGACUGUCUUAAUCCCUCACUGUCUCUAGAUUUUAAAUUUUGGUAAGAACCAUGAAAAUGACUGAAAAGCAUGAUGUUGUUUUCGAAAUACAUAUUAGUAUCCCCUUCUCACCCAAAUGCCAAAAUCAGGUGGCUUGAUUUGAGGUGUUUUAAGAUAUUGUAAUUGAAUGAACAAUUAGGUUACACUUUAACAAAAAUGUGUAAAAAGGGUUGAUAACCACAUCUUUAAUAGAGAAGUACUAUUUUGUCUUUGAUAGUUGUCAACAGAUUUGUGGCUGAGUCAAUAACAUGCUCUGAGUCUGGAAUCUUUGCUCCUCUUUUGCAUUACCAAAAUUUGUUUCAUGUAGCUUGGGAAGAAAAUUUUGAGCAUGGGUGCAAGAUCGUUUACAUGUAAGACCAUUUGCUCAUGCAAUUUGGGAUGCUCAUUUUGCAAUCCCACAAUAGAAAAAAAGUUUAAAGUCUUAAUUGAAAACGUUAAUUCCCAGCCAUUUAUAACAGGAUAGCUUUUUAAGUGUGAAUAAUCAUAUUGUUUGUUACACAUUGUUGUAUAACCAUUUGUGUUGAAGAUUAGCACUAAACAAGUUAUGUAAAUCCAAUCAACUCUUUACAUAUAGAAGGUUCUGCAAAUAUAACUAAGCUACCAACUAAUACUUAGUAGUCAAAGUACUCCAAUGUUUGGAGUCAUCGGUAAAAUAGGAGCAACUAUAUUUUGGGCAUCUCUUAAUAUGUAUAUAAUAUCAGUGUACAUAGUCAAGCUAUAAACUACUACUUUAUACUUUAUACAAACCCUAAACCCUUCUGAGUUCCCACAUAUUUUCAUUGUUUCAUUUAUACAUCUAUUGGAGGAUUGGAGAGGAUUGAGAGGCAGAUGAGUGAGACUUCUGAUGGUUACACAGAAAUAAAUGGUCUCUUGCAUCUUGAACCAGAUUACUCUGGGUUUGGCAGUAACGUUGAUUGUUAAAAACACUGGUGGUGCUUCUGUUUUCCACAAUGUAAGCCCAAGAUUAUGCGAUGGUGCUCAAUUUGGAUUUAUUGCAUGGCUAGAAAUAUGAUCUUGCAGUAAGUGUUGAAGACAGUUAUAUGCCAAGCACCGUAGAUUUUUUCGAGGAGCUUUCUCAGUUUGUUGUCAAGGCUGGUUCAAUUUUAAGUAAUAUUUAUGGUGUAGAUUGGGAAAACAAACUUGAGGUAUCAAUUUUUCAAAGAUAGUUUAUGCUUGAAAUUAGCCCUGUUUUUAUAUCUUUCAACAUUCUGUUUUUUUUGGAGUUACUAUGUGCUUGAAAACUUGCUGAAACAACAAUGGAACAGUUUUUUUGUUUUUUGUUAACUGCUGAAACAGGUGCCAGGCCUACAGGCCAUAUAUUUUGCCACCUUAACUGUAAGGGCAAAAUAUGUGUGGACUGCAUCUUGCUUCUGUUUCUUACGGAAAUAGGCGUCCUGCAUUUUUUUUUCUUUGAACAUUAGUGCUUGAAAGCUUAGCUGCUGAAACAAAAACAGAACACUUUUAAUAUUUUUUGUUAACUGCUAAAACAGGCGGCUGGCCUGCAGAAUAUAUAGUUUGCCAUCUUAACUUCAGAGGCAAUAUAUGUGUGAACUGCAUGUUGCUUCUGUUUCUUAUGGAAAGAGGAAUUUUUGCAACCACAUCUUCUGUAAUCAAGAACGUUCAACUUCGUCCUGUUAAUUGUACAAUGCCUUUUCAUAUCA